rnacentral:snRNA from 1 species
AUCGCUUCUCAGCCAUUUUGCUAAGAUUAAGUGUAGUAUCUGUUCUUAUCAGUUUUAUAUCUGAUAUGUCCUCUAUCCGAGGACAAUAUAUUAAAUGGAUUUUUGGAGCAGGGAGAUGGAAUAGGAGCUUGCACCAUCCACUCCACACAUCGACCUGGUUUUGCAGUACUUCCAUGAACGGAAAAAAAAAA